rnacentral:sRNA from 1 species
ACCUGACAUCUGUCAGUAAAAUUAUAAAUUUCCCACUGAAAUCCCCGAUUUUAGUGACUUCUAUGUUUGUUUAUACCAUGGUUUUUCCUCUACGUCGAUAUUCAUGCGAAGCGAUGAUCAAAGACAAAUAAUCAUCACUACGACGCAUCUUGACGACGUUACACUUAGCUUUUAAGCAUAAAAGGAUAAAAUUUCUAUUCAAAGUGACUUGUUUAUCGAAUGUGGUAGUCGCAAGAUUUUGUGAUAAAUAUUUAAGAAGUUUGUUUCAGAAGUACCAUGGCAUCAAUAAAUACCGAAAGUUCAACUUUACAUGUAAAUAAUGUAGAAAGUACACCAGUGGCCUUAUCACCUAUUGAAAUACAACAGGAAUACUUUGAAAAUUUAGGAGAUAUGGAUUGGGUCAGAUAUGAGAAGGACCAGGGAAAUUUUCUGAUGCAGAAUGUAGCGUUUGCCUUAUAUGGUGGCCCUAGUUCUGAAGGAGACUUGAGUAAUGCCAGGAGAUGUAACCAUCCUAUUUUGGAAGGCUAUACCACAAGACAAGUGGAACAGGUUACAAAGAUCUAUGAUAAAUUGCGUGAACAAAGUAAAUACUCCUUCAAUAAUGAAAUUGUGGUAUCAGUGAUAUUGAUUGUUUGUGCUAAGCCAAAACCAGUAGGUUUGUUUGAAAUUGAACCACCUAAUCAUUGGUGGGAUCUUCAUCAAAGAACUGAUACGGACAUUUGGUGCACAGCUGUGUUUAGAGUUCGAAAGUGCAUUGCCACUACGGAGGGUGCAAAGUGCUGCCGUAUCUACAUUGACGAUCAGGCAAGAGUGUACAAUGACUGGGUUUCAUAUAUAAAAAAUAAUACACUACCUAAAUGUGUUAUGAUUGUUCCUGAAAAUGGAGAAUACACUGGAGAACUUAGUGAGAAGGAAAAGACAUUUGCGGUGAAACUGACAGUAGCACCUUCACCUGCGCUGGGGAUCAAGGCGAAAAUCUUUAGCACGGCGGACACGGCGAAUACGGUGACGUCACUGGCGGCGUUGGGCGUGCUCGGCGCGGCCGCACUGACGCCCGUCGCGCCGGUGGUUAUCACGGGCGCAGUCAUCGCCACCGUCACCACGGGCGUGUAUGGGCUCGUACGCUCGUCGCUUCAUUUGCAUGACAGAAAGACGCAUGAGCAGUCUAUAAGUCCCACGGACUCGGAGGCUCGUAAUAGUUGGCUGAACAUCGCGGCGUCGAGCGUGGGGCUGGCAGCCGGCGCGGCGAGCACUAUGCUCUCCAAGUCCGCGGCAGCCGGCACGAAUCUUACUAAGACCGGCCAAGCUCUUGCUGUUUCGGUGGAAGUGUUACGUCACGCGAACCUUGUCACCGGUGGCGCAGGAGUUCUUAACAGUCUUGUGCAUAUUGUGCUAAAGUACCAUACUCAUGGAGAGAAACCAACUUCGCUUGAAUUGUUCCAAUUCACUGCAGCGACAUUGUUCUUCUGUAACGCUGUGGUGUCGAACAAAACUGCACAAAACAUAAUCGAAGAUGCCCAAGCAAAGACCAUUAAUGAAUAUCGCACUACUCUUCGCAGUAACAGGCAUAGAAAAAUAUUUGACAAAAUCAGUGCCGAGUCGCGUAGAAUUCAAGGUUCCAUCCAAGGAAACACCGAAGUGAUUAAAGGCAUUCAGAACAUUGCCAACAAGGAUCAAUUUUUUGCAGACGUUUUGAAAAUUAACAAAGAUGUGAAUACACAUAAGCUGAGGAUUUCGAUGACGGCCGAUGGUCAAGUCAAUUUGAAUGCUCAACAUAAGUUCAACCCAUCAGAUUUACAUGGCAUUGGGAAGGAGGGGCGCGCACAACUUUUCAAUAACAUCGGACCAUCAUCGGGUGGGCCUCCCAACGUCCCAACAAAACUAACCCCAUCAACAACCGCUGUAAGGGCAUUUACUUCGGAGACUGAAGAGGAGUCAGAAAGCUUUCUUAUGGGUAUUCAACCGGAGAGGUACUACGUUUGGGUACAUUGCUUGUUAGAGUUACUUCUUCAGGUGCUGAAGAAGUUGCAUCAAUGUUGGAAAAUCUGAGUCAAGAUGUGCACGCUAAUCUAAUGACUAUUGCGCUCAAUGUAUUGUCUAAGUUGGUGCCACAGGACAUCGCAAGGCUCAGAUUACUGAGUCCUGACCAAGAUCUAAUAGUGCAAGUGGUUGAGUUUGUAUUCAAGUAUAUGAAACACAAGCGGCCUUUGGGAGAGACAUCUGAAGAUGAUGGUAUAGAGGCGGUCUUGAAAGAGUUCUUCCAAGACGGCAUGGUUCGUCAAGAAACUAUAUUGAGGCUGAAAAAUCGUUUGCUAGAGUGGAUUACACAAGAGACGAACCGCAGGAGUCGUGCGAAUCCAAACAAAAGCAAAUAGUGUGUAGCUGCGGUGGCAUUAGAUAUGCUUAAAUGCAUUUUAUUUAACUUAAGUGAGGCUGCAUAAUGUUGUAGUUGCUAUUAACUAUCACAUUACUAGUUAGAUGAUACUAUUUUUACUUUUUUAUAUUAUAUUAAGUUGAAUUUCUGAAUAUCAUAUUCAACAUUAUUUCAUUAGAUGGAAUAAUCCGUAACAGAUAAGAACCAAGCAAUAUAUAUACAAAAGUAUGCUUGUUAUAUUCCUUGCAUAAUCUUAGAGUAGAAUAAUUAUUUAUUAGUGAGUGAAGUAAAUAUUCUGGCUUCCAUCCAACAAAACAUAUCACUGAAAUUGUGAAUAAAAUUUUAUUUUAUUGAAAAUGAUAUAUAUUUUUAGUCUUUGGAAAAGUGAAAAUUUAUUCUGUGAUAUCGUAGUUUUAUUAUUUGAUACCAAAUUAGUGCCUUAAACAUGGCCUUAGCGACAUUGUCGUGGAAUUACGACCAAGCUCCUUAAAUAAAUAUCUU